AGCGAACGCUGGCGGCAGGCCUAACACAUGCAAGUCGAGCGCCCCGCAAGGGGAGCGGCAGACGGGAGAGUAACACGUGGGAACGUACCCUUCAGUACGGAACAACCAAGGGAAACUUUGGCUAAUACCGUAUACGUCCGUAAGGAGAAAGAUUUAUCGCUGAAGGAUCGGCCCGCGUCUGAUUAGCUAGUUGGUGAGGUAACGGCUCACCAAGGCGACGAUCAGUAGCGGGUCUGAGAGGAUGAUCAGCCUCACUGGGACUGAGACACGGCCCAGACUCCUACGGGAGGCAGCAGUGGGGAAUAUUGGACAAUGGGCGCAAGCCUGAUCCAGCCAUGCCGCGUGGGUGAUGAAGGCCCUAGGGUUGUAAAGCCCUUUCGGCGGGGAAGAUAAUGACGGUACCCGCAGAAGAAGCCCCGGCUAACUUCGUGCCAGCAGCCGCCGUAAAAC
rnacentral:rRNA from 1 species